UUCUGAUAAAGGCAAACUAAUCGAAAGGUUAGGACGCAAAGCCCAGGGUCUAAGGUUAUGCUGUGAGACUUAUUGCUCAUUCAUAAUUAUGAUCGCCUGGCUGCCAAC
rnacentral:ncRNA from 1 species